rnacentral:rRNA from 1 species
UAGUGCCAAACUACCCUAUCGAGCACGAUACUCUCGGGAAACUGAGGCUAAUAGUGCAUACGGGCUCGGUGUCUGGAGUGACCCGAGUCAGAAACGCUCAGGCGCGAUAGGAUGUGGCUGCGGCCGAUUAGGUAGACGGCGGGGUAACGGCCCACCGUGCCAAUAAUCGGUACGGGUUGUGAGAGCAAGAGCCCGGAGACGGUAUCUGAGACAAGAUACCGGGCCCUACGGGGCGCAGCAGGCGCGAAACCUUUACACUGCACGCGAGUGCGAUAAGGGGACUCCAAGUGCGAGGGCAUAUAGUCCUCGCUUUUUCCGACCGUAGGAUGGUCGGCGAAUAAGUGCUGGGCAAGACCGGUGCCAGCCGCCGCGGUAAUACCGGCAGCACGAGUGAUGACCGCUAUUAUUGGGCCUAAAGCGUCCGUAGCUGGCCACGCAAGUCCAUCGGGAAAUCUCUCCGCUCAACGGAGAGGCGUCCGGUGGAAACUGUGUGGCUUGGGACCGGAAGAUCCAGAGGGUACGUCUGGGGUAGGAGUGAAAUCCCGUAAUCCGAGACGGACCACCGGUGGCGAAAGCGCUCUGGAAAGACGGAUCCGACGGUGAGGGACGAAAGCUCGGGUCACGAACCGGAUUAGAUACCCGGGUAGUCCGAGCUGUAAACGAUGUCUGCUAGGUGUGACACAGGCUACGAGCCUGUGUUGUGCCGUAGGGAAGCCGUGAAGCAGACCGCCUGGGAAGUACGUCUGCAAGGAUGAAACUUAAAGGAAUUGGCGGGGGAGCACUACAACCGGAGGAGCCUGCGGUUUAAUUGGACUCAACGCCGGACAUCUCACCAGCAUCGACAGUGUGCAGUGAAAGUCAGUGUGAUGAGCUUACUGGAGCCACUGAGAGGAGGUGCAUGCCGCCGUCAGCUCGUA